rnacentral:lncRNA from 1 species
GCCUGGAGCUCGUGCGUCUGCCUCCCUGCUGGAUUGAGGGCCCCACACGCAGCGAGAUGCUCAAUAGACAUGUGAUCCUUUGAAAACGGAAGAGAAAAAGGAACAGACACAUCAGAGUGAAAAGAUGACUUUGACAAAAUUUAGAGAGAUCUGGCAAACAAUGGUUCGGGCGAGAGUCCUCAAACCCAUCAAAACAGACACACAAAGGCUGUGAUGAAGUCCUUCGUCCAAAGAGGAGCAAUGAAAACCAGCGCAGUCAGAGUGGCUGGGCAGAGAAGGCUGCCUGAGGCCUGGAGUCAGGGGACAUUUGCUCCCCUAGUAAGGCCUUUGGGCCCCUCCUUGCAGUUUGGAUAAGUGUGCCAAGACCUGGGCCACGUGGAGCUGACCACUGGUGGGCAGUUGGUGCCUGCUCCCAUGCCUUCAGCUGCCAGGGCCCCUCCACUGUCACCCACCCCUCCUGGAGCCCUGGUGGUUAGUGCUCAACAUUGAAACUGUCUGUGCUCCUUGGCUGGGUCUGGAAUGAUCAUAUUUGAGAUGAAAAGAUCAAGAAGACAAUGGAAACAUCUCAGGGGGAGAAAAAACUAAACAGCUCUACAGGGAA